AAUACGUCAGUUUGGUGAUGUGCUUGACUGCGAGAUUACGCGGUCAAUUCCGGUUAUGUGCCUGUCUUAUUUUAAAUUAAUUUGAGUUGUGGCAUGUCAAUGGAGAACAGAAGCUGGACUGUGAACACAGACUGGAUGUGGUCCUGCAAACAUGGCGAUAUCAGGUAACAAAACAUUUUUCAGUCAAACCAUAGUAAAGUUAUUUUUUUUUUGUCCAUAAUUUAGUGAGGGUCUAAAAUUGCGAUUAGCGUAUUAGCGCUGACUAGUAAAUUAUGUAUUUCAAAGCAGCGUCUGAGUUUGCUGUGUGUUUGUAUUAAUGUCAGCUAAAUUAGUUUAAAACUCAAACUCGUGAGAAGUAAAGGAGCAUCGGAAUAAGUAAAGUGAAUGAGAAAACUGCAAUUUACACUCGGAGACACUGGAAUCUAAAGGAUAUUUGAGAAAUGUUAUAUUUGUUGUGAUGACCGUUUCUGAGUAUUUUUUCUUUCUCUUUUCACCUCUUCAAAUACUGAUAACGGCUAAUGAUAAGAUAUUGGUUUACAUUUUAAAUCAAGCACACGUUUUUCAGGGAAAACAGCUAGGCGCCAAACACAGAGACGACAGUAAGAUGUUACUCAGUUUUAACCGUUUCUAGACCUCACAUUGGGAUUAAUAUCUGUAGUAUUAAGUAUGAUUCUAAUCAUUAUAAGUACAUUUGUAAGACAUUUCCCCACUGGUGAUAGAAAAUGUGAGUAACUUUUUUUCCCUCCUGUUGUCUUUCUUCCUCUGAGGUACGGGGCACAAAGAAAGAGAAACAGAACUUGUCGCCAUCAUCAGUCCUUUAUUUCAUUCACUGGGGAACAUCACAACCUUCAGAUGUGUCUUAUCAGGAUAAAUGCAGCUGCAGGGAAAAUUAUUUGAAGGACUCGUCAGCCCCAUCCUACUCCAGAUUCACCAAGGAUCCAGCUGAAGCCCCGUUCACACUACAAGCGACACGCAACGACAAGGCAACACGAUCCCAUUCAUUUCAAUGGAGAGCUGGCGAUUUCUGGCGACAGAGGCCGUUGGUGACUGGAUGGGGCGUGUCCAGCGACGCGACAAAGUUCAGAAUCAUUCAACUUUAUGCAAAUGAAGAGCGACUUUCGGGAGCAAUAGCCAAUAGGAAAGAAGACGGUAGAGCUCACGUGAUCAGCCGUAGAUAAACAUACACAAUGGAAAAAAACAGCAAGAAUCCUGAUUCGCUGUGAAGGCAACCAGUAGUGAGAACGCCUGCUAGCAACCUCAUCGCCAGCCCCUGUGACUGCAGCUUUAUUACUGGCCAUUUGGAGGAGGAUUGUCCUUUAUCUGCUACACUGCACUGCCACUUCUGAGGCUCUUAAGAAGACUGCACUGAUGUCAAAGGUCAACCGGCAAGAAGCUGAGGGGGAACUCUCAAAAUUGGUACAAGAGACAAAGGAGGACUGAGGGUGUCUAGAAUGCACAAAUGUCUGUCUGCAGUGUAAGCAGUACUGAAAAAUGUAUAGUUGCUGCUGCUUCUAACUGUCCCCAGUUUUUUUUUUCUUGUGCAAAUGUUCAAAGCUUUCAGUAAACACUGGUUCAAAUACAGGUUCAAAAUUUGUGCUAACUUUAACAGUUACAUUAAUUUGAACAAUUAGGUGUCAGAAUAUAGCAUAAUAUGAUGGGUAGUUUCAAUAAACUUGAAAUUUUAAGCAUA